GAUGAAGAACGCAGCGAAAUGCGAUAAGUAAUGUGAAUUGCAGAAUUCAGUGAAUCAUCGAAUCUUUGAACGCACCUUGCGCCUUUUGGUAUUCCGAAAGGCACACCUGUUUGACCGUCAUGAAUACCUCAAUCUCCAUCUUUUCUUCGGAUUGAUGGGUGACUUGGAUGUUGAGCCCUGCUGGUAUGCUAUAUCAGCUGGCUUUAAACUUAUUAGCCGGCUCUGUACUGGAUCGGUUUGACUCGACGUGAUAAUAUUAUCGUUGAGGAUGCAUGUCUCAUGCAGCCGGAAAGUAUCAAAGCAGCUUCUAGCUUGCCUUUAGUGCACUUUUACAUUUUAGACCUCAGAUCAGGUGGGACUACCCGCUGAACUUAAGCAUAUCAAUAAGCGGAGGA
rnacentral:misc_RNA from 1 species